rnacentral:rRNA from 1 species
GACGAACGCUGGCGGCGUGCUUAACACAUGCAAGUCGAACGGAAAGGCCCCUUUGGGGGUCCUCGAGUGGCGAACGGGUGCGUAACACGUGAGUAACCUGCCCUUGACUUCGGGAUAACUUCAGGAAACUGGGGCUAAUACCGGAUAGGAAUCCUUGCUGCAUGGUGGGGGUUGGAAAGCUUCGGCGGUUUUGGAUGGACUCGCGGCUUAUCAGCUUGUUGGUGCGGUAGUGGCUUACCAAGGCUUUGACGGGUAGCCGGCCUGAGGGGGCGACCGGCCACAUUGGGACUGAGGUACGGCACAGACUCCGACGGGAGGCAGCAGUGGGGAAUCUUGCACGAUGGGCGGCAGGCGGAUGCAGAAAGGCCGCGGGCGGGAUGACGGUCUUCGGGUUGUAAACCGCUUUCAGCAGGGGCGAAGCUUGUGGUGACGGUACCUGCAGAAGAAGCACCGGCUAACUACGUG